rnacentral:rRNA from 1 species
UGGGGAAUUUUGGACAAUGGGCGAAAGCCUGAUCCAGCAAUGCCGCGUGUGUGAAGAAGGCCUUCGGGUUGUAAAGCACUUUUGUCCGGAAAGAAAUCCUUGGCUCUAAUACAGUCGGGGGAUGACGGUACCGGAAGAAUAAGCACCGGCUAACUACGUGCCAGCAGCCGCGGUAAUACGUAGGGUGCAAGCGUUAAUCGGAAUUACUGGGCGUAAAGCGUGCGCAGGCGGUUUGCUAAGACCGAUGUGAAAUCCCCGGGCUCAACCUGGGAACUGCAUUGGUGACUGGCAGGCUAGAGUAUGGCAGAGGGGGGUAGAAUUCCACGUGUAGCAGUGAAAUGCGUAGAGAUGUGGAGGAAUACCGAUGGCGAAGGCAGCCCCUGGGCCAAUACUGACGCUCAUGCACGAAAAGCGUGGGGAGCAAACAGGAUUAGAUACCCUGGUAGUCCACGCCCUAAAACGAUGUCAACUAGUUGUUGGGGAUUCAUUUCCUUAGUAACGUAGCUAAACGCGUGAAGUUGACCGCCUGGGGAGUACGGUCGCAAGAUUAAAAACUCAAAUGAAUUGACGGGGUCAUAGCUGUUUCCU